rnacentral:rRNA from 1 species
GACGAACGCUGGCGGCGUGCUUAACACAUGCAAGUCGAACGGAAAGGCCCUGCUUUUGUGGGGUGCUCGAGUGGCGAACGGGUGAGUAACACGUGAGUAACCUGCCCUUGACUUUGGGAUAACUUCAGGAAACUGGGGCUAAUACCGGAUAGGAGCUCCUGCUGCAUGGUGGGGGUUGGAAAGUUUCGGCGGUUGGGGAUGGACUCGCGGCUUAUCGGCUUGUUGGUGGGGUAGUGGCUUACCAAGGCUUUGCCGGGUAGCCGGCCUGAGAGGGUGACCGGCCACAUUGGGACUGAGAUACGGCCCAGCCUCCUACGGGAGGCAGCAGUGGGGAAUAUUGCACAAUGGGCGGAAGCCUGACGCAGCAACGCCGCGUGCGGGAUGACGGCCUUCGGGUUGUAAUCCGCUUUCGCCUGUGACGAAGCGUGAGUGACGGUAAUGGGUAAAGAAGCACCGGCUAACUCCGUG